UUUCAAUAUCAGUCAGAGAUUAAAUACUUAGAGUUCUUCAUGUUUAGAGAUUUUCAUGAUUUAGAACCAUAACUGUCGCAAAUGGCAAGCAAUUAUGAUUUCCAGAUGGCAAGUAUGGGAUUUCUACCAUGCAAAAUGGGAUAUCUAACAGACUGGAUGGUAAAAUUAGCCGAAGAUGAAUUGAAUGAAACUGAAGAAACUCGUAAUCAGGCUAUAUCAGAACUCAAGAGUCUCAUACAAGAACUUAAGGAACUGAAGAUCUGGACUGAUGAUGCUUGCCUACUGCAAUUCCUAAGAGCAAAAAAAUUCGAUGUAAAGAGAGCUUGGGAACUUUUACACCAUCUUUUCGUUGUUAAACAAAAAUAUCCUGAAGUUUAUC